UAGUAGUCAUACGCUCGUCUCAAAGAUUAAGCCAUGCAUGUGUAAGUAUAAAUAGUUAACUUUGAAACUGCGAAUGGCUCAUUAUAUCAGUUAUAGUUUAUUUGAUGAAGAAUACUAAUUGGAUAACCGUAGUAAUUCUAGAGCUAAUACAUGUAUAAAGUCUUGUAGACUGCAUUUAUUAGAAUGAAAACCAUAGGUUUCGGCCUAUUCGUGAGUAAUAAUAACUAAUCAUAUCGUAUGCUUAAGUA
rnacentral:rRNA from 1 species